rnacentral:rRNA from 1 species
CGUAGGAGGCGAGCGUUGUCCGGAUUUACUGGGCGUAAAGCGCGCGCAGGCGGCAGUGCAAGUAAGGUGUGAAGUCUCCCUGCUCAACGGGGAGGGUGCACUUUAGACUGCACAGCUCGAGGUCGGUAGAGGGGGGUGGAAUUGCCGGUGUAGCGGUGAAAUGCGUAGAGAUCAGCAGGAACACCCGUGGCGAAGGCGGCCCCCUGGGCCGUACCUGACGCUGAGGCGCGAAGGCUAGGGGAGCGAACGGGAUUAGAUACCCCGGUAGUCCUAGCAGUAAACGAUGGCCACUAGGUGUGGGGGGUGUUGACCCCUUCCGUGCCGUAGCUAACGCAUUAAGUGGCCCGCCUGGGGAGUACGGUCGCAAGACUA